UACUAUUCACCAGUGUCUCAGCAAUGGAUGCUCUGCAGUGAAUGGGUGCCGUCAGAAUGAGAGUCCAAACAGCUGAUAAAAACAUCACAAUAAUCCACAAGUAAUCCACAGCACUCCAGUCCAUCAGUUCACAUCUGGAGAAGACAAAAGCUGAAACAAAUCCAGCAUUAAGACCUUUUUAACUAAAAUAUGAGUCCAUAAUCCAUAAUAACACUUCCUCCAGUGAAAAAGUGUUCUGAUCUGAAUCAGGAGAGAAAUCUGCACAGAUCAAGCAGCGUUUAAACAGCUCUAAACAAAUAUGUGUGUGAUUUUGAUGUGAGAGACAACAAGAGAUGCACUUUUUCACUGCAGGAAGUGUUAUUAUGGAUUAUGGACUCAAUGAAUAUUUGAGUUAAAAACAUCUUAAUGCUGGAUGUGUUUCAGU
ensembl:lncRNA